GAUGAACGCUGGCGGCGUGCCUAAUACAUGCAAGUCGAGCGAACAGAUAAGGAGCUUGCUCCUUUGACGUUAGCGGCGGACGGGUGAGUAACACGUGGGUAACCUACCUAUAAGACUGGAAUAACUCCGGGAAACCGGGGCUAAUGCCGGAUAACAUGUUGAACCGCAUGGUUCUACAGUGAAAGGCGGCUUUGCUGUCACUUAUAGAUGGACCCGCGCCGUAUUAGCUAGUUGGUGAGGUAACGGCUCACCAAGGCAACGAUACGUAGCCGACCUGAGAGGGUGAUCGGCCACACUGGAACUGAGACACGGUCCAGACUCCUAAGGGAGGCAGCAGUAGGGAAUCUUCCGCAAUGGGCGAAAGCCUGACGGAGCAACGCCGCGUGAGUGAUGAAGGUCUUCGGAUCGUAAAACUCUGUUAUUAGGGAAGAACAAAUGCGUAAGUAACUGUGCGCGUCUUGACGGUACCUAAUCAGAAAGCAACGGCUAACUACGUG
rnacentral:rRNA from 1 species